UAGAAGUCAUCAGCAGGUUCCCCAACCUCUAAGCUGGCUGCAGAUCAAGUCCUGCUUAGACAAUCCUAAACAUAUAAACAAUUCAAUUAUGGGCAACUGGAAUGGAUCAUCAGGAUCCUGCCUCAGUGUUGUAGAGUUCAGUUUGUGACCA